rnacentral:rRNA from 1 species
AAAUUGAAGAGUUUGAUCAUGGCUCAGAUUGAACGCUGGCGGCAGGCCUAACACAUGCAAGUCGAGCGGUAGCACAGAGAGCUUGCUCUCGGGUGACGAGCGGCGGACGGGUGAGUAAUGUCUGGGAAACUGCCUGAUGGAGGGGGAUAACUACUGGAAACGGUAGCUAAUACCGCAUAAUGUCGCAAGACCAAAGUGGGGGACCUUCGGGCCUCAUGCCAUCAGAUGUGCCCAGAUGGGAUUAGCUAGUAGGUGGGGUAACAGCUCACCUAGGCGACGAUCCCUAGCUGGUCUGAGAGGAUGACCAGCCACACUGGAACUGAGACACGGUCCAGACUCCUACGGGAGGCAGCAGUGGGGAAUAUUGCACAAUGGGCGCAAGCCUGAUGCAGCCAUGCCGCGUGUGUGAAGAAGGCCUUCGGGUUGUAAAGCACUUUCAGCGGGGAGGAAGGCGUUAAGGUUAAUAACCUUGGCGAUUGACGUUACCCGCAGAAGAAGCACCGGCUAACUCCGUGCCAGCAGCCGCGGUAAUACGGAGGGUGCAAGCGUUAAUCGGAAUUACUGGGCGUAAAGCGCACGCAGGCGGUCUGUCAAGUCGGAUGUGAAAUCCCCGGGCUCAACCUGGGAACUGCAUUCGAAACUGGCAGGCUAGAGUCUUGUAGAGGGGGGUAGAAUUCCAGGUGUAGCGGUGAAAUGCGUAGAGAUCUGGAGGAAUACCGGUGGCGAAGGCGGCCCCCUGGACAAAGACUGACGCUCAGGUGCGAAAGCGUGGGGAGCAAACAGGAUUAGAUACCCUGGUAGUCCACGCCGUAAACGAUGUCGAUUUGGAGGUUGUGCCCUUGAGGCGUGGCUUCCGGAGCUAACGCGUUAAAUCGACCGCCUGGGGAGUACGGCCGCAAGGUUAAAACUCAAAUGAAUUGACGGGGGCCCGCACAAGCGGUGGAGCAUGUGGUUUAAUUCGAUGCAACGCGAAGAACCUUACCUGGUCUUGACAUCCACAGAACUUUCCAGAGAUGGAUUGGUGCCUUCGGGAACUGUGAGACAGGUGCUGCAUGGCUGUCGUCAGCUCGUGUUGUGAAAUGUUGGGUUAAGUCCCGCAACGAGCGCAACCCUUAUCCUUUGUUGCCAGCGGUCCGGCCGGGAACUCAAAGGAGACUGCCAGUGAUAAACUGGAGGAAGGUGGGGAUGACGUCAAGUCAUCAUGGCCCUUACGACCAGGGCUACACACGUGCUACAAUGGCAUAUACAAAGAGAAGCGACCUCGCGAGAGCAAGCGGACCUCAUAAAGUAUGUCGUAGUCCGGAUUGGAGUCUGCAACUCGACUCCAUGAAGUCGGAAUCGCUAGUAAUCGUAGAUCAGAAUGCUACGGUGAAUACGUUCCCGGGCCUUGUACACACCGCCCGUCACACCAUGGGAGUGGGUUGCAAAAGAAGUAGGUAGCUUAACCUUCGGGAGGGCGCUUACCACUUUGUGAUUCAUGACUGGGGUGAAGUCGUAACAAGGUAACCGUAGGGGAACCUGCGGUUGGAUCACCUCCUUACCUUAAAGAA